rnacentral:rRNA from 1 species
UACGGGGGGGGCAAGCGUUGUUCGGAAUUACUGGGCGUAAAGGGUGCGUAGGCGGUCCGCUAAGUUGGAUGUGAAAACUCUGGGCUUAACCCAGAGCCUGCAUUCAAUACUGACAGGCUAGAGUUCUGGAGGGGAUAGCAGAAUUCCUGGUGUAGCGGUGAAAUGCGUAGAUAUCAGGAGGAACACCGGUGGCGAAGGCGGCUACCUGGACCACAACUGACGCUGAGGCGCGAAAGCUAGGGGAGCAAACAGG